rnacentral:rRNA from 1 species
GAGUUUGAUCGUGGCUCAGGACGAACGCUGGCGGCGUGCCUAACACAUGCAAGUCGAACGGAGCCAAUCGAAAGAUUCUUUCGGGAUGAUUUUGAGGAAGCUUAGUGGCGGACGGGCGAGUAACGCGUGAAUAACCUGCCCAUAAGAGGGGGAUAAUCCAUGGAAACGUGGACUAAUACCGCAUAUUGAGCAUAAACCGCAUGGUUGAUGGUUAGAAAGUAUUUUAUCGCUUAUGGAUGGAUUCGCGUCAGAUUAGCUGGUUGGUAGGGUAACGGCCUACCAAGGCGACGAUCUGUAGCCGAACUGAGAGGUUGAUCGGCCGCA